rnacentral:rRNA from 1 species
CUUUCUACAGGCUUAACACAUGCAAGUCGAGGGGCAUCAGGAAGAAAGCUUGCUUUCUUUGCUGGCGACCGGCGCACGGGUGAGUAACACGUAUCCAACCUGCCCUUUACUCGGGGAUAGCCUUUCGAAAGAAAGAUUAAUACCCGAUAGUAUAAUGAUUCCGCAUGGUUUCAUUAUUAAAGGAUUCCGGUAAAGGAUGGGGAUGCGUUCCAUUAGGUUGUUGGUGAGGUAACGGCCCACCAAGCCUUCGAUGGAUAGGGGUUCUGAGAGGAAGGUCCCCCACAUUGGAACUGAGACACGGUCCAAACUCCUACGGGAGGCAGCAGUGAGGAAUAUUGGUCAAUGGGCGCUAGCCUGAACCAGCCAAGUAGCGUGAAGGAUGAAGGCUCUAUGGGUCGUAAACUUCUUUUAUAUAAGAAUAAAGUGCAGUAUGUAUACUGUUUUGUAUGUAUUAUAUGAAUAAGGAUCGGCUAACUCCGUGCCAGCAGCCGCGGUAAUACGGAGGAUCCGAGCGUUAUCCGGAUUUAUUGGGUUUAAAGGGAGCGUAGGUGGACUGGUAAGUCAGUUGUGAAAGUUUGCGGCUCAACCGUAAAAUUGCAGUUGAUACUGUCAGUCUUGAGUACAGUAGAGGUGGGCGGAAUUCGUGGUGUAGCGGUGAAAUGCUUAGAUAUCACGAAGAACUCCGAUUGCGAAGGCAGCUCACUGGACUGCAACUGACACUGAUGCUCGAAAGUGUGGGUAUCAAACAGGAUUAGAUACCCUGGUAGUCCACACAGUAAACGAUGAAUACUCGCUGUUUGCGAUAUACAGUAAGCGGCCAAGCGAAAGCAUUAAGUAUUCCACCUGGGGAGUACGCCGGCAACGGUGAAACUCAAAGGAAUUGACGGGGGCCCGCACAAGCGGGGGAACAUGUGGUUUAAUUCGAUGAUACGCGAGGAACCUUACCCGGGCUUAAAUUGCAGUGGAAUGAUGUGGAAACAUGUCAGUGAGCAAUCACCGCUGUGAAGGUGCUGCAUGGUUGUCGUCAGCUCGUGCCGUGAGGUGUCGGCUUAAGUGCCAUAACGAGCGCAACCCUUAUCUUUAGUUACUAACAGGUUAUGCUGAGGACUCUAGAGAGACUGCCGUCGUAAGAUGUGAGGAAGGUGGGGAUGACGUCAAAUCAGCACGGCCCUUACGUCCGGGGCUACACACGUGUUACAAUGGGGGGUACAGAAGGCAGCUAGCGGGUGACCGUAUGCUAAUCCCAAAAGCCUCUCUCAGUUCGGAUCGAAGUCUGCAACCCGACUUCGUGAAGCUGGAUUCGCUAGUAAUCGCGCAUCAGCCACGGCGCGGUGAAUACGUUCCCGGGCCUUGUACACACCGCCCGUCAAGCCAUGGGAGCCGGGGGUACCUGAAGUACGUAACCGCAAGGAUCGUCCUAGGGUAAAACUGGUGACUGGGGCU